rnacentral:rRNA from 1 species
AUGAUUUAUGAUGCUAUAAUUUUAUAAAGAGGUAAAAAAUCCUUUUGGUUCUAAAGGGACGACAAGACCCUGGAAGCUUUGAAGUUUGGAAUAACUUAUUUAACUGGGGCGGUUUAUAAUAAAAACAUUAAAUAUAAAAACAUCUUGUAUGGGUUAUUUGAGCAUAGUUUAGGCAAUAAAGAUAAGCUACUCCAGGGAUAACAGCGUGAUUAUACCAGAGAGUCCAUAUCGAAGGUGUAGUUGUGACCUCGAUGUUGAAU